AGCAGCCGCGGUAAUUCCAGCUCCAAUAGCGUAUAUUAAAGUUGCUGCAGUUAAAAAGCUCGUAGUUGAAUUUCGGGACUAAUAUGUCGGUCGUGCCUCGGUACGUACUGGUUUAUUGGUUUCUCCUUUCUGAAGAACCAUGAUGUCAUUUAUUUGGUGUCGUGGGGAAUCAGGACUGUUACUUUGAAAAAAGUUAGAGUGUUUAAAGCAGGCUCACGCUUGAAUACAUUAGCAUGGAAUAAUGAAAUAGGACGUUUGAUUCUAUUUUGUUGGUUUCUAGGAUCGACGUAAUGAUUAAUAGGGAUAGUUGGGGGCAUUAGUAUUCAAUUGUCAGAGGCGAAAUUCUUGGAUUUAUUGAAGACUAACUACUGCGAAAGCAUUUGCCAAGGAUGUUUUCAUUAAUCAAGAACGAAAGUUAGGGGAUCGAAGACGAUCAGAUACCGUCGUAGUCUUAACCAUAAACUAUGCCGACUAGGGAUCGGAUGAUGUUAAUUUUUUAAUGACUCAUUCGGCGCCUUAC
rnacentral:misc_RNA from 1 species